rnacentral:rRNA from 1 species
AUUGAACGCUGGCGGAAUGCUUUACACAUGCAAGUCGAACGGCAGCACGGACUUCGGUCUGGUGGCGAGUGGCGAACGGGUGAGUAAUGUAUCGGAACGUGCCCAGUCGUGGGGGAUAACGUAGUGAAAAUUACGCUAAUACCGCAUACGAUCUAUGGAUGAAAGCGGGGGAUCGCAAGACCUCGCGCGAUUGGAGCGGCCGAGAUCAGAUUAGGUAGUUGGUGGGGUAAAGGCCCACCAAGCCAACGAUCUGUAGCUGGUCUGAGAGGACGAACGGCCACACUGGAACUGAGACACGGUCCAGACUCCUACGUGAGGCAGCAGUGGGGAAUUUUGGACAAUGGGCGAAAGCCUGAUCCAGCCAUUCCGCGUGCAGGAUGAAGGCCCUCGGGUUGUAAACUGCUUUUGUACAGAACGAAAAGGUUUCUACUAAUACUAGGAGCUCAUGACGGUACUGUAAGAAUAGGCACCGGCUAACUACGUGCCAGCCGCCGCCGUAA